rnacentral:rRNA from 1 species
AACGAACGCUGGCGGCGCGCCUAAUACAUGCAAGUCGAGCGAGAAGACGUAGCAAUACGUUUGUAAAGCGGCGAACGGGUGAGGAAUGCAUGGGUAACCUACCCUCGAGUGGGGAAUAACUAGCCGAAAGGUUAGCUAAUACCGCGUACGCUCCUUGGACUUCGGUUCAGGGAGGAAAGCGAUACCGUGGGUAUCGCGCUCUUGGAUGGGCUCAUGUCCUAUCAGCUUGUUGGUGAGGUAACGGCUCACCAAGGCUUCGACGGGUAGCUGGUCUGAGAGGACGAUCAGCCACACUGGCACUGCGACACGGGCCAGACUCCUACGGGAGGCAGCAGUAAGGAAUAUUGCGCAAUGGGCGAAAGCCCUGACGCAGCGACGCCGCGUGGGGGAUGAAGGUCUUCGGAUUGUAAACCCCUUUCGGGAGGGAAGAUGGAACGAGCAAUCGUUCGGACGGUACCUCCAGAAGCAGCCACGGCUAACUUCGU